ACCGAGGGCUACACACGUACUACAAUGGUUGGUACAACGAGUUGCGAGUCGGUGACGGCGAGCUAAUCUCUUAAAGCCAAUCUCAGUUCGGAUUGUAGGCUGCAACUCGCCUACAUGAAGUCGGAAUCGCCAGUAAUCGCGGAUCAGCACGCCGCGGUGAAUACGUUCCCGGGCCUU
rnacentral:rRNA from 1 species